UACGUAGGGGCCUAGCGUUGUCCGGAUUUAUUGGGCGUAAAGAGCUCGUAGGCGGUGUGUCGCGUCGGCCGUGAAAACCUGCAGCUUAACUGUGGGCUUGCGGUCGAUACGGGCAUCACUGGAGUUCGGCAGGGGAGACUGGAAUUCCUGGUGUAGCGGUGAAAUGCGCAGAUAUCAGGAGGAACACCGGUGGCGAAGGCGGGUCUCUGGGCCGAUACUGACGCUGAGGAGCGAAAGCGUGGGGAGCGAACAGG
rnacentral:rRNA from 1 species